CAGCAGCCGCGGGAAUACAGAGGGUGCGAGCGUUAAUCGGAUUUACUGGGCGUAAAGCGUGCGUAGGCGGCUUUUUAAGUCGGAUGUGAAAUCCCUGAGCUUAACUUAGGAAUUGCAUUCGAUACUGGGAAGCUAGAGUAUGGGAGAGGAUGGUAGAAUUCCAGGUGUAGCGGUGAAAUGCGUAGAGAUCUGGAGGAAUACCGAUGGCGAAGGCAGCCAUCUGGCCUAAUACUGACGCUGAGGUACGAAAGCAUGGGGAGCAAACAGGAUUAGAGACCCCGGUAGUCCCUGUCUCUUAUCC
rnacentral:rRNA from 1 species